rnacentral:lncRNA from 1 species
UCAACAUCUUACUUUCAAAAUCUUAGCUUGCGGUCAUCAUCAUGAAUCAAUUCGACAAUCUACUUGCAAAUCCUUUUUAAUACUUGUCAUAUGAAGAGAAACAAUGAAGAUAAACUAUAGAUAAAAUGUAUCAGUGCUCAUCGGCCAUUGGACAUAAACAUUACAAAACUAUUGGAAAUCGCAAAUUCAACGAUGAGUGGUUUGGAAGGAAUCGGUUACAGUGGCUAACUGCAAGCACUGUAACUGGGACGUCGGGAAUAAACGAGCUCAGACUGGGAAAAUAUGUUUUAAACGGUCAUCCAAAUCCAACUAGGAAUUGUAAAUCCGUCCUCUUUCUCUUUCCUUGAUGACAAAAUGUGACCACAAAGGACUGCCGCGCCACCUUCCUGUUCAAGUGAGCACAUCACAACAAGGCGGCGAAUCGCAUCUCUGCAUGUCUGUCAGACAUAUCAGUGUGGAUGACGGAUCAACACCUCAAGCUGAACCUCGGCAAGACGGAGCUGCUCUUCCUCCCGGGGAAGGACUGCCCGUUCCAUGAUCUCGCCAUCACGGUUGACAACUCCCUUGUGUCCUCCUCCCAGAGUGCUAAGAACCUUGGCGUGAUCCUGGAC